UGGGCCCCUCGGUGCUGCUCGCCAAAGUGAAAGUGAAAUGAGGAAGGACGGCCGAGUGGUCUGCAGGAGAAGAGUAAUUAGUGUGAACCAUCUGUGUCAAGGUUCACAUUAAGCCUCACCACCCUCAGGCUCGCUUAAAAGACUGGAGUGAAACUACGGAGACUGUCGUUGAGGAGGAAGAAAGAGGACAGCCCUCCUGAUUCUUUAGAGAUUGGGUGGAGAACUCUUCCCAUAUCAUUGAGUGUUUUCUAGUCAGAGGACCUUAAACUGCUGGAUUUCUCACUUGGUUUUCAGCUGUGGUCAGAACACUUGAUAUAGCCUUUCUCCCUCUGGGGGGAAAGAAAACAACAUCCUCUCCACACAUUGUCAGACUCAUGAGGCCACAACUGACAUACAUGCUGGAAGGAGAAAGUGCUCUAUGGUGCCUUGUUUUCUCUUUUGAAUUACGUCCUCCUGAGACUGUGGCUGACCCUAGGCCCAUGGCGUUCCUGCAUGUGAUUGACGUGCGUGAUUAGCAGGCUAGUGAGAGUACCAGGGAAAUUGCUGUCAAAACAAUUACAUACAGGGACAUCAGAACAAUGGCUUGAGAGCCCCCAGGGACUUAGAGACCAUCCUAGCUCUGCCACGCAUGCCCUCUGGGACCGUGGCCAAGUCACAUCAUCUCUUUGUGUCUUCGGUUUCUUCUGUCUGACCAAUACAGGAAAUAAUCUUUGAAGAUUUGGUAAGACUCACCUCUUUGGGUGUGAUUAUCUUGGAGCAAAGCCUGCUUCCUAGGUGUGAGCUUAUGCAGUUACCCUGGGCCCCACACUCGGAAAGAAAUACCAAAUUCCCUUGUCAACUGCAUCAUUUUUAUAGUGAACUGUCAUCAGAGCUUUAACCACUGCCAUUUUAAGUUUUUGUCGGCAACAGAUAGUUUUUGUUUUACUCUGAUUCUUCUCUGAGAGCAUUGGCAAUUGGCUAUAGGCCAGAGUGCUUCAUCUUCAGCAAAAAGGGAUUGUCUCUGAGACCCAUGGAAAGGACUGGCUAUGACAGGUCUCUGGGAUACAGGCUUCUGAUGGCACUGUUUAAAUAACUUUGAGACCAUACCAUUCAACUGAGAAAGGAUUUCCAGAACUCAAGUAAAGAAUCUGAUGGGUGCAUAAAACUGCUAACCCAAGACCAAGCAGAAUGAGAAUUGAUUGCAUGAGAUUGAAUGAACUGAUGGAGGAUGAUUAUAGCCUUUGUUUGGAAUAUUGCUGCUGGAUUUAAGGAACCUCUUUCCCUUUUCUCUUGAGUUAUCACUCACAACAGUUUAGAAGAUAAUACUUUUAUAAACAGAAGUGAAACAUUUAUCUUUUUCCCUGCCUGAUCCCUCCGGACUUCAGAAACUCUUAUUGAGAAUUCUCAUUUUAAUGGCAAUAUAAUUAUUUGCAUAAGUUCAGUAAGAGUCUGUCCUCCUUGAACAGAAUUUACUUGGAAACAUUGGUUAUAUAACAAAGGCUUUUACUGGAAUGUCAUAUUUGAGAAUAUUGUAGAUAGAAUCAUAUACAAACAGAUAAUUUUAAGGAACUCAGGCUGACUUUAUGGAGCCAAUGCUUACAAAGCUCAUUUGAGAAAACUGGGCUGGUAGCUAGUUUACAGGGUUCCAAGCCUUACAGAUGAAUAAGGAAGGUUGCUUCCUGGCAAACCCAGGAAGCUUAGGAUAUUUUGGGGACCUAGAGAAAAGAGAAAUUUACCCAAAUCUAUAGGUUCUACAGGUAAUACCUGGUGGCAAGUUCUUGGCUUGGCUUCCUACCAUUGAAAGGCUUUUAAAAAUCUAAUUUGAGAUUACUUUUGAAGAGUUCCAGCAAAGCAAACUUACAAAAGUCUUUGUGGUUGAUUACUGUUCUUGCUGCACUUAUGUAAAUAAUAGACCAAAUCUAAUGAGACCAGACUUAAGAAUAAUGAAAAAAAGCGUGGGUGUAAAGAGAAAUUUUCUGUCAGUGGAAAACUAUAGCAUACCCUUGUGGGUUAUGACUCUAGUCCUGUUCAUUAUCUUUCAGGUUUUGUUAUCUCCUUGUAAAUUGGACUGAAUCUUGCCAUCUUGCACAUUUUGUCAGUCCUUACUAAAUUCUAGAUUCUUAUAGUUUCCUCCAGUAUCUGGCUACAACUCUUCAAAUUAACAUUUCCAACUGUUCUCCCACUUUCCCAACUUGGUGUCACUGAGAACCAAAAACCUGUUUGCCCAGUUCCUUACUGGAACUCUAGGUUGUCUUGCAAGCUGAAACUGGAUGACAGGCAACCUUCAUGCCUGGAGCUGCUGCUGUGUAGGCCACUCAGGAAGUUUACUGAAAGUUCCACAUCUUCCAUGCUCUGCUCUGGGAAAUAACGAUGACUGUGACACUGAUUUCUAUGCCAUCACCAAAGAUAUUCAAACUGCAAACCAGGAAAUUUGUCAGAUUGCCACUAUUGUUCUCACUAUACCAUCUAAAGACGCUUCAAGCCCAACAUUUAGAAAUCUUCUCAACUGGCUUCCCUCUGGACUCAGAAACUGGUUUUAUAGUUUGUUCCAACCUUUAAUCUUUGCUUUUCUUUUUAUUUUCAUAGAAAUUCCCCUUAUUAAAUGCCUGAUGAUUUGCACUAUCCAGCAAAUAUACUCUACUACCAAGUUCCAACAGAUGGUUCAGUUUGUUCUUAAUGAACAAAAGGAGACUGAACGAGAAAUGGACUUAUAUUGUUCAGAGGAAAGAAAAAUGUUUCUUCUCCCCUGAGCAAGAUGAGGGGCUGACAAACUCUCAGGCCAUCACCACAGCCUUGUCUUGUCUUUGCCAUGUGUAGUCCAGUUUUAACAAGAAUGCUGCUGAAUAAGUUUAGUCAAGGUCCCCCCCACUAUUACUAUCUGAUCCCUCUCAAUACAUGGUCAGGUCCCUCAUCCCUCACGUUUGAUGUAUAAGUCCUUCACCUGCCUUUUGCAGGAAACCCGUUAAAAAGUCAUCCCUUUAUUCUUGAUGUUUCCUCUUAGUAAUUUUCAAUCCACUGACCCCCUCACUUUGCUCGUUGACUGUAAAUUGCCACUUGUCCUGUUGUAUUGGGAGUUGAGCCCUGUCUCUCUCUCCUGUUGCAAUAGAGUCAGCUCCUAGUACAAUAGUCUUGAAUAAAGUCUUCUUUACUGUUUUAACAUGUGUCAAAAUAAUUUUUUUCUUUAACAGACACAUCAGGCAAAAGGGGUUUCUUAAAUCAGUAAAUAAGCCACGAGAAACAUUAGAAUCAGCCUCUCCUCUUUACAGGUCAUUUUGUCCUAUCUCCCACCCAGUUUUGGAAUCCCUCAAAC